rnacentral:rRNA from 2 species
AACUUAAGCAUAUCAAUAAGCGGAGGAAAAGAAACUAACAAGGAUUCCCCUAGUAACUGCGAGUGAAGCGGGAUAAGCUCAAAUUUAAAAUCUGGUAGCUUCGCUGCCCGAGUUGUAAUCUGGAGAAGUGCUUUCCGUGCUGGACCGUGUACAAGUCUCUUGGAACAGAGCGUCAUAGAGGGUGAGAAUCCCGUCUUUGACACGGACUACCAGUGCUUUGUGAUGCGCUCUCAAAGAGUCGAGUUGUUUGGGAAUGCAGCUCAAAAUGGGUGGUAAAUUCCAUCUAAAGCUAAAUAUUGGCGAGAGACCGAUAGCGAACAAGUACCGUGAGGGAAAGAUGAAAAGAACUUUGGAAAGAGAGUUAAACAGUACGUGAAAUUGCUGAAAGGGAAACGCUUGAAGUCAGUCGCGUUGGCCGGAACUCAGCCUGGCUUUUGCUUGGUGCAUUUUCUGGUCGACGGGUCAGCAUCAGUUUUGACUGUCGGAUAAUGGUCGGGGGAAUGUGGCAUCUUCGGAUGUGUUAUAGCCCUCGGUCGCAUACGAUGGUUGGGACUGAGGAUCUCAGCACACCUUUAUGGUCGGGGUUCGCCCACGUUUGUGCUUAGGAUGCUGGCAUAAUGGCUUUAAACGACCCGUCUUGAAACACGGACCAAGGAGUCUAACAUGCGUGCGAGUGUUUGGGUGUAAAACCCGAGCGCGUAAUGAAAGUGAAAGUUGAGAUCCCUGUCGCGGGGAGCAUCGACGCCCGGACCAGACCUUCUGUGACGGCUCUGCGGUGGAGCAUGUAUGUUGGGACCCGAAAGAUGGUGAACUAUGCCUGAAUAGGGUGAAGCCAGAGGAAACUCUGGUGGAGGCUCGUAGCGAUUCUGACGUGCAAAUCGAUCGUCAAAUUUGGGUAUAGGGGCGAAAGACUAAUCGAACCAUCUAGUAGCUGGUUCCUGCCGAA